CAAAUAGCUUGCCUACAUGCAAUAUGUUUACCAGAAGAAAUAAAAUGUCUUCAAAUGAUGUCAUCAGUUUAGUUGCCAAAAAACUGAAGUCAUUUCUUUGGCCAGUAGACCGGCUGAACUUCCCAGAAAAAAAAAAACAGACAAGUCAAUGUUUGUGGGAAGGAACAAAGAGAAAAUCACAAUGUAGGAGACAGAUAAAGAGCAGGGGUGGAGACACCAGGAAGAGAAGCAAGC